ACUUCCGGCGGGCGGGCUCCGAAAGGAGAGCGCGAAGGCUGGAGGUGGUAGGAAUGGACUGGAUGGAGGUGGCGGGCUGACAGGUCUGAGGCCUGAGGGAGUUCGGGGAACCGCAAAGCACGGUGUGCCUCCGUUGUCCUGAAGAAAAAGCCGCGCGUGGACGACUGGCCGGCCCGCUCUUGCAGCUUCCAGAAGUUGACAGGCACCCUCCGGUGACCGGAGACAGGGUUUCACCGUGUUAGCCAGGAUGGUCUCAAUCUCCUGACCUCGUGAUCCACCCGCCUCGGCCUCCCAAAGUGUUGGGAUUACAGGCGUGAGCCACCAUGCCCGGCCCAAAAUUGUCAUCUUUAAAGUACUGAACCCAGCCAUCCAUGAAUAUAGAGCUUGCCACAUGGUGCUAAACUGUCCUUCAGAAAAGUGAUAUGAAUUUGCAUCCCAUCAGGCUGAUAGAAGAGCACCUCUUCCUUAAGAGAUAUCAGGUUCUUGCUCUGUCACCCAGGCUGAAGUGCAGUGCUACUAUCAUAACUCACUGAAGCCUUGAACUCCUGGCCUCAAGCAAUCCUCCUGUCAUGGCCUCUCAAACUGCUAGGAUUACAG